GGGUUGUGAGGUUAAGCGACUAAGCGUACACGGUGGAUGCCCUGGCAGUCAGAGGCGAUGAAGGACGUGCUAAUCUGCGAAAAGCGUCGGUAAGGUGAUAUGAACCGUUAUAGCCGGCGAUGUCCGAAUGGGGAAACCCAGUGCAAUUCGUUGCACUAUCGUUAACUGAAUACAUAGGUUAACGAGGCGAACCGGGGGAACUGAAACAUCUAAGUACCCCGAGGAAAAGAAAUCAACCGAGAUUCCCCCAGUAGCGGCGAGCGAACGGGGAGCAGCCCAGAGUCUGAAUCAGCUUGUGUGUUAGUGGAACGGUCUGGAAAGUCCGACGGUACAGGGUGAUAGUCCCGUACACCAAAAUGCACAGGUUGUGAACUCGAAGAGUAGGGCGGGACACGUGGUAUCCUGUCUGAAUAUGGGGGGACCAUCCUCCAAGGCUAAAUACUCCUGACUGACCGAUAGUGAACCAGUACCGUGAGGGAAAGGCGAAAAGAACCCCGGCGAGGGGAGUGAAAAAGAACCUGAAACCGUGUACGUACAAGCAGUGGGAGCACCUUCGGGUGUGACUGCGUACCUUUUGUAUAAUGGGUCAGCGACUUAUAUUCUGUAGCAAGGUUAACCGUAUAGGGGAGCCGCAGGGAAACCGAGUCUUAACUGGGCGUUAAGUUGCAGGGUAUAGACCCGAAACCCGGUGAUCUAGCCAUGGGCAGGUUGAAGGUUGGGUAACACUAACUGGAGGACCGAACCGACUAAUGUUGAAAAAUUAGCGGAUGACUUGUGGCUGGGGGUGAAAGGCCAAUCAAACCGGGAGAUAGCUGGUUCUCCCCGAAAGCUAUUUAGGUAGCGCCUCGUGAAUUCAUCUUCGGGGGUAGAGCACUGUUUCGGCUAGGGGGUCAUCCCGACUUACCAACCCGAUGCAAACUACGAAUACCGAAGAAUGUUAUCACGGGAGACACACGGCGGGUGCUAACGUCCGUCGUGAAGAGGGAAACAACCCAGACCGCCAGCUAAGGUCCCAAAGUCAUGGUUAAGUGGGAAACGAUGUGGGAAGGCACAGACAGCCAGGAUGUUGGCUUAGAAGCAGCCAUCAUUUAAAGAAAGCGUAAUAGCUCACUGGUCGAGUCGGCCUGCGCGGAAGAUGUAACGGGGCUAAACCAUGCACCGAAGCUGCGGCAGCGACACUAUGUGUUGUUGGGUAGGGGAGCGUUCUGUAAGCCUGCGAAGGUGUGCUGUGAGGCAUGCUGGAGGUAUCAGAAGUGCGAAUGCUGACAUAAGUAACGAUAAAGCGGGUGAAAAGCCCGCUCGCCGGAAGACCAAGGGUUCCUGUCCAACGUUAAUCGGGGCAGGGUGAGUCGACCCCUAAGGCGAGGCCGAAAGGCGUAGUCGAUGGGAAACAGGUUAAUAUUCCUGUACUUGGUGUUACUGCGAAGGGGGGACGGAGAAGGCUAUGUUAGCCGGGCGACGGUUGUCCCGGUUUAAGCAUGUAGGCUGGUUAUCCAGGCAAAUCCGGAUAAUCAAGGCUGAGGUGUGAUGACGAGGCACUACGGUGCUGAAGUAACAAAUGCCCUGCUUCCAGGAAAAGCCUCUAAGCAUCAGGUAACAUCAAAUCGUACCCCAAACCGACACAGGUGGUCAGGUAGAGAAUACCAAGGCGCUUGAGAGAACUCGGGUGAAGGAACUAGGCAAAAUGGUGCCGUAACUUCGGGAGAAGGCACGCUGGUGUGUAGGUGAAGUCCCUGCGGAUGGAGCUGAGACCAGUCGAAGAUACCAGCUGGCUGCAACUGUUUAUUAAAAACACAGCACUGUGCAAACACGAAAGUGGACGUAUACGGUGUGACGCCUGCCCGGUGCCGGAAGGUUAAUUGAUGGGGUUAUCCGUAAGGAGAAGCUCUUGAUCGAAGCCCCGGUAAACGGCGGCCGUAACUAUAACGGUCCUAAGGUAGCGAAAUUCCUUGUCGGGUAAGUUCCGACCUGCACGAAUGGCGUAAUGAUGGCCAGGCUGUCUCCACCCGAGACUCAGUGAAAUUGAACUCGCUGUGAAGAUGCAGUGUACCCGCGGCAAGACGGAAAGACCCCGUGAACCUUUACUAUAGCUUGACACUGAACAUUGAGCCUUGAUGUGUAGGAUAGGUGGGAGGCUUUGAAGCGUGGACGCCAGUCUGCGUGGAGCCAACCUUGAAAUACCACCCUUUAAUGUUUGAUGUUCUAACGUUGGCCCCUGACCGGGGUUGCGGACAGUGUCUGGUGGGUAGUUUGACUGGGGCGGUCUCCUCCCAAAGCGUAACGGAGGAGCACGAAGGUUAGCUAAUCCUGGUCGGACAUCAGGAGGUUAGUGCAAUGGCAUAAGCUAGCUUGACUGCGAGCGUGACGGCGCGAGCAGGUGCGAAAGCAGGUCAUAGUGAUCCGGUGGUUCUGAAUGGAAGGGCCAUCGCUCAACGGAUAAAAGGUACUCCGGGGAUAACAGGCUGAUACCGCCCAAGAGUUCAUAUCGACGGCGGUGUUUGGCACCUCGAUGUCGGCUCAUCACAUCCUGGGGCUGAAGUAGGUCCCAAGGGUAUGGCUGUUCGCCAUUUAAAGUGGUACGCGAGCUGGGUUUAGAACGUCGUGAGACAGUUCGGUCCCUAUCUGCCGUGGGCGCUGGAGAAUUGAGGGGGGCUGCUCCUAGUACGAGAGGACCGGAGUGGACGCAUCACUGGUGUUCGGGUUGUCAUGCCAAUGGCACUGCCCGGUAGCUAAAUGCGGAAGAGAUAAGUGCUGAAAGCAUCUAAGCACGAAACUUGCCCCGAGAUGAGUUCUCCCUGAGACUUUAAGUCUCCUGAAGGAACGUUGAAGACGACGACGUUGAUAGGCCGGGUGUGUAAGCGCAGCGAUGCGUUGAGCUAACCGGUACUAAUGAACCGUGAGGCUUAACCUUACAACGCCGAAG
rnacentral:rRNA from 1 species